rnacentral:lncRNA from 1 species
CGGACAGUGCACGUACAUGCAUUGUGAUGUGGCCGAUGAAGGCCAAGUGAAGGCACUAGUAGACUCAACAGUUGAAACAUUUGGGAGCCUUGAUAUCAUGUUUAGCAAUGCAGGAUUUUGGAAAACAGGGGAUUUCCGCCAGAGCAUUCUUGAAUUGAAUCUAGAAGCCAGUGACCGCCUCUUUGCAGUCAACACGCGUGGUAUGGCAGCGUGUGUGAAGCAUGCAGCACGCGCCAUGGUGGAAGGGAGCGUCAAAGGAGGUAGUAUAGUGUGCACGGGGAGUCUAGCAGCGUCUAUUGGGGGGGAGCAGUUUAUUGACUAUGUAAUGUGCAAGCACGCGGUGUUGGGGCUAGUAAGGUGUGCAAGUAAAGGGCUGGGAGAGUAUGGGAUACGCGUCAACUGUGUAUCACCAGGGUGUGUAGUCACUCCCCUUGCCUGCAAAGAAUUUGCACUUAGCGAGGAAGAAUGUGAGAAAUAUUUUGAGGGCGUCAUGGACUUAAAAGGCUUUGGAGCAAUCAAGGCAAAGGAUAUAGCGAAUGCUGUUUUAUUUCUCGCUUGUCAAGAUUCUCAGUUUAUCACUGGACAAAAUCUGAUUGUGGAUGGGGAAAACACGCUGAAGCUUUGAUUUCCUUCAGUGCUUGAAGAUCAAAUGCUCGAUUAUCUAUUUGGGCAGCAUUUCACAUGCGUUUGCAUAAUAAGAAUAAGGCAUAUUUUUUCUUCGCCUAAUGCCUAAAAUGUGUCAAGUUUAUUUUGAAUGUUCUGCAGCCUGUGACUUUGUGAACUCACAGUUGCUAAUAAAAUUGGUUGUUUUUUUGUUGCAUUAUACAUGAAAAUUGAAUACUUCCCGAGACCUCCCAUAAACUAGAGGUCUGAUACCAUGUAGAGAACCAUUCCCUCUAAAAUCUUAAGGGUGUUUAUUGGAGGCCCUUCAUAAAUCUUAUACUUAUAUUUCAACAGCUUGCCUUUACAUAAGGUAGCUACAAACCUAAAACUAGAAACUUUUGUGGUCUAAUACUCAUGAAAUAUUACUUGAGUGAUUGAUAUUGAAGAAACCUGAGGAUUGACAGAAAAAAGAUCGAAUCACUCUUUACUACUUAGGUGCCACAUAACAAAAUAGAGAUAGGUCAAAGCUGAGCUUCAGCCUACCUAAAGAAGAGCUGGAGAAAUGUCUUAUGAGUGGUAUAUAUAGAGUAUGCAGAAGAGAUUGUUCCCCUGAUCUGGCUUUUUGGAGAAACAUUGUUUGUCCGAGGGCACGGAUGCUGCAAUAAGAGUGACCAUUACAAACCACAACCAACAAUAUCACUGCCAUCAUCAUCCUUUUCGUGAUUAUUCGUGAUUAUAAAUCAAUAUUCAUUCAAUAUACUUAUACGAAGGAGAAGCAUGAGUCGUUUAGGUGGCACCUCUAACAGAGCUCUGUUUAUUAUUCUAAUUUUCUGAAAUUUUUGGAUGAAAAUAUAUCAAAAAUAAAAAUUGUCAUCUUUAGUUUCGGAUAUACUCGAAGAAAGUUUUAGAACUAUCUUUUUCAAAAUAUCAAAAUCAAAUCAGAAUUUGAAACUAUCAUCAUAUUUUUAGAAAAGGUGUAUAUAAAAAACAGAAAAUAUUUUUAUAAGCCUGUCUUUUCAUAAAUUAACCCCUGUAAAUUGAGGUCAGACAUCAUAAAAUUUUACACACAAUUUUUUUUGAGCUUAUUUGUCUUUUUUUAUCUAAUACAAUAAUGAGUUACAUUAUUCUAUUUUGAAUGGAGAUAGGCUAAUAUGAGUUUGUCGGAUGUGGGAGUCGACAAAUCCAAAUAUGGGAGAACAAUAUAGUCUUGACAUGAUAUUGAUGGAUGAAAAGACCAAACAUGAUAUUGAUGGAUGAAAAGACCAAUAAAUUAACUGGUAGGAUAUAUGUUUGUUCGUUAUUUUUUUAUAAUAUUUGUUUUAUUUAUCGGACAUGUUUGUUGUUGUUAAUUUUUAUAUGUUUUACUUUGUAUACAUGAAAAGAUUAUUCAUACAACACUUUCACAAUAUCUGUUUGCUCGGUUCAAGCACCUUUUAAGUGAAGGUUGUAUAAGUUUAUACAAUAUCAAAAAAAUAAACUUUGAAAAGAAGGAAUCACUAAUAAACCCGUGAAUGGAGUGGAGUUCAUACUCUCGAGAUGAUUAAUGUUCGUAUAACCAGAAUAUAAUGUUUAUCCUUAUUAAAAUUAGGGAUGGUUUCAGAGUUGUAUAUCAGUAUUUUUUAGACUUUUACGCAUAUGUUAAACACAACUAAAAUUAUGAUUUGUCGUGAUUUGAAUUGUUAAUUACAUGCAGAUUUUUAUUUUUAUUUUUUUACUCAUGAAUUAUAGUCCAAUUUUGCAAUUUUAUAUAUUAAUAUUGGUUUUGCAUCUAGAUGUUUAUAAUAUAAAUUUUAGUUUAUUCUAUAGAAAAUUAUUGGGAGUAGCUUUCCAAAUUCUUGUUAUAAUUGUGAAAAUUAUAUUUAGAUUAAUACGAAAACCACACUUUAAGUCCGAGGUGCAGUAGCAAUGUCUGAAUAUACUAUUUAGUGUGGUAAACAGAAUGAAGAAGAUAUUGUUGCACUGAUCUGGUUAUAAAUGGAAGAUAUUGUUUGGAUUAGGAGUCAUAUAUAGCCUAUACGAUGUUUCCAGGUUUCGCCAAAAUUUGUGUCUCUUAAUUAGCCUGUGGAAUGUUGUAAAAGUAAUACAUACAUGCAUCCAUAAUUUUUUAAAUUCAACUUAGAUUAAAAAUCAUAUCAAAUCUCUAAUGCAGUUUGUUCAAAAAGAGCUUUUGAUGGCAAUCUGAUAAGCCAAAAAGGAGCUCAUGCAUGUGUUUCUCCUCAAGUCUUCUUCUUAACAAUCAACUCCGUGAAUAGUAUUCACAUAAGUCAGUCGCCCACAUAGUUUGAAUAUAUAUGAGGACUCAUUUUCUCUUUUCGGUGCCUAACUUGAAGCUAUAUAUGGUGCUAAACACAGAGAGAACCAUGUUUUUAUUGAAUAUAUAGUGCUGCUUAAUCAAGUAAUUUACUAGAUUUAUAGUCCUUGAGACAGUUGUCACUGGUAGAAAACUAUCACUACAUAUAUGUUAGUGAAGCACUAAAGAAGAAACCUAGAAUUAUGACAGAAACAGUUCAGGUUCUCAGUUACAAGAAGCUUGACGGCAAAGUAGCCAUAAUCACAGGUGGUGCAAGCGGAAUAGGCGAGGCCACUGCUCGCCUUUUUGCUCAACACGGGGCACGAGCCAUUGUAAUAGCUGACAUCCAAGAUGCAUUAGGCCAGAGUGUAGCUGAAUCUAUUGGUAACGAACAAUGCACGUACAUGCAUUGUGAUGUGGCCGAUGAAGGCCAAGUGAAGGGUCUAAUAGACUCGACAGUCGAAGCAUUUGGGAACCUUGAUAUCAUGUUUAGCAAUGCAGGAGUUGGCAAAACAGGGGACUUGCGCCAGAGCAUUCUUGAUUUAGAUCUCGAGGCCAGUGACAGGCUCUUUGCAAUCAACACGCGUGGUAUGGCAGCGUGUGUGAAGCAUGCAGCACGCGGCAUGGUGGAAGGGAGCGUCAAAGGAGGUAGUAUAGUGUGCACGGGGAGUCUAGCAGCGUCUAUUGGGGGGGAGCAGUUUAUUGACUAUGUAAUGUGCAAGCACGCGGUGUUGGGGCUAGUAAGGUGUGCAAGUAAAGGGCUAGGAGAGUAUGGGAUACGCGUCAACUGUGUAUCGCCAGGGGGUGUGGCCACUCCGCUUUCCUGCAAUGAAAUGAAUCUUAGCGUGGAAGAGUGCGAGAAAUUUUUUGAGGGUAUCAUGGGCUUAAAAGGCUUUGGAGCAACCAAGACAAAGGAUAUAGCUAAUGCUGUUUUAUUUCUGGCUUCUCAAGAUUCUCAGUUUAUCACUGGACACGAUCUGAUUGUGGAUGGGGGAACCAAGCUGACCCUUUGAUUUUCUAUUUGGUAAGCAUUUUAUAAGAAUAUUGCAUUUGUUUUCUGGGCCUAAUGCUUGAAAUGUGACAAGUUUAUUUUGAAUGUCUGCAGCUAAAUUGUAACUUUGUGAACUCACAGUGCUAAAAAAAUUUGGUUGUUUUCUCGUGCGUUGCAUUAUAGAUGAAAAUGGAAUGUAUUCUAUUUUUCGUAAGUUUUUGGUGACAUAUUUUUUAUUUUUUCACUUGAUAAAAUAUUAAUAAAUUUCAGUCAAACUUUGGUCAAUUUGACCGGCACAAAUCCAAAUGUGACAACUAAAAAGGGACGGAGGGAGUACAAUAUCUAUGGUCCUUCGGACAGUUGUUAUUAGUAGAAAACUAUCACUACAUAUAUGUUGGAUGCUAUUAUAUGGUAAAGCACUAAAGCCGAAACCUAGAAUUAUGACAGAAACAGUUCAGGUUCUCAGUUACAGUACGCGUAUCCCAUACUCUCCCAGCCCUUUACUUGCCUUCUCGGACAUUGCAUAGUCAAUAAACUGGUCUGGUUUUGCUUCAAGAGUUGCAGUAGCAAUGUCUGAAUAUACUAUUUAGUGUGGUAAACAGAAUGAAGAAGAUAUUGUUGCACUGAUCUGGUUAAUGGAAGAAACAUUUAUGCUUUAUGAGUGAACAGAUAUUGUUGAAAGAAGAGUGACAAUGAAAACUCCCAACCAAUAUCUUCAUUGUAUUAAUAACAAGUCAAGGUUCGAGUUGAUGGAUGUAGAUGUUAGAACUAGAGUGCUAAUGACAACUCACAAGUCACAAGCAAGUUGUAAAAAUCGGAAACUCGGUUCAACUCGGUUUGGUUCCGGAAAAUGAGUAUUCGGAACUCGGAAGAGUAUUCGGAAUGAGUUAUCGGAUAACUAAUCCGGUAUUUUUUUUAAUUAAUUUUUUCUCAUAUAUAGGUAUAUACCGAUUAAUAAUAAAACUAUUGAAUAAUAUUAAUAUUUUAAUAAUACACUUGAAAUAAUGAAGUUUAAAUAAAAGUUACUUGUUUGAUAAUUUUUGAUAUAUAAUCAUUCACAAGUUUUAAUGAUAAAACACAUAUACUUUCUAAUUAAUGUCAAUACUUUGCAAAAAAAAGACCAAAAUAUAUAUAAAUUUACGUUUAGUCUUUUGAAAUAAUUUUCAAUAAAUCAAUACAAAAUUGAGAAGUCAAACUAGGAUUUGACCUCGAGUAUUCGGAGUCAAACCAAGUUUUGACCGGUUUUUUAAUAAAUCGGUUUUAAACCCAAUUACUCGGAACAUCGGACGAGGGGUUAAAAACGAGUAUUCGGAAUGAGUACUCGGCCGACUUGAUGAUUUUCAGAACACUGCUCACAAGUAACAUCGCGGGAAGUCAUUGUUAUAUUAAUAAUUCAAGGUCUGAGUUGAUAGAUGCUAGAUAUUAGAGCUAGAGUGCCAAGACAACCCACAACUCACAUCAUGCUACGUAAAUGUUAUAUUAAUGAUAUGUCAAGGUCUGGGUUGAAAAAUAUUGUUAUGUUGAUGUCUGAGUUAACGAAUCUUAUACGCUGGAUGUUAUCACUAUGUAUAUAUAUAUGCUGGAUGUUACUAAAUUGUAAAGCACUAAAGAGGAGAUUUAGAAUUAUGACAGAAACAGAUCAUUUUCUCCUUCACAAAAAACUUGAAGGCAAAGUAGCCAUAAUCACAGGUGGUGCAAGCGGAAUAGGCGAGGCCACGGCUCGCCUAUUCGCUCAACACGGGGCACGAGCCAUUGUGAUAGCCGACAUCCAAGAUGCAUUAGGCCAGAGCGUAGCUGAAUCUAUUGGUCACGGACAAUGCACGUACGUGCAUUGUGAUGUGGCCGAUGAAGGCCAAGUGAAAGGCCUAAUAGACUCGACAGUCGAAGCAUUUGGGAACCUUGAUAUCAUGUUUAGCAAUGCUGGAGUUGGCAAAACAGGGGACUUGCGCCAGAGCAUUCUUGAUUUGAAUCUGGAUGCCAGUGACCGCCUCUUUGCAAUCAACACGCGUGGUAUGGCAGCUUGUGUGAAGCAUGCAGCGCGCGCCAUGGUGGAAGGGAGCGUCAAAGGAGGGAGCAUAGUGUGCAC